rnacentral:rRNA from 1 species
GUGGGGAAUAUUGCGCAAUGGGGGAAACCCUGACGCAGCGACGCCGUGUGAGGGAAGAAGGCUUUCGGGUCGUAAACCUCUGUCAGAAAGGAAGAACCUCCCAAGUCCGAAUAGGGCUUGGGACUGACGGUACUUUCAAAGGAAGCACCGGCUAACUCCGUGCCAGCAGCCGCGGUAAUACGGAGGGUGCAAGCGUUAAUCGGAAUCACUGGGCGUAAAGCGCGCGUAGGCCGCGUUGUAAGUCGGACGUGAAAGCCCUCGGCUCAACCGGGGAACUGCGUUCGAUGCUGAGAGGCUUGAGUCCUGGAGAGGGUGGCGGAAUUCCGGGUGUAGGAGUGAAAUCCGUAGAUAUCCGGAGGAACACCGGUGGCGAAGGCGGCCACCUGGACAGGUACUGACGCUGAGGCGCGAAAGCGUGGGGAGCAAACAGGAUUAGAAACCCGUGUAGUCC